UUCAGUCCAUGACAAUAUCUGUGCAAAUAUCAUUUUUUUUAGAAGGGUAAGAAAAUUCUAUUGAUAUUCUGAUUAAUCUUGUUAGGAUCUUAGGAUAACUCAUAAUGUAACUGGAUUUUGGUGUAACACUAGUAUAACUGGUAACGUUAAUUUGAUUUUAACGAACCUAUGAUAAGCUGACGUCAGUGCUGCGAUUUACUGGGGGAAUGAAAAAGCUCCCACGAGCUGUUCUUCUCAUGAAAGCUGAUUGGUUAGAGAAAGAACAGAUUUUGACAGAUUUUGUUAAUCAUCAAUCAACUGUUACAUUAAAUUUGUUUAUAUUGAUAACUUUCAGAAAGCUCAUAUUUAGCAAGGAGCUGUCAAGUUUGUACAUGAUUUUGAAUGCCUAUGGUGGAAUAUUUCGUAAACUCAAAUGAAUGUAAAGCAAUGCCUACUCCUCAAUGGAAGAUACAAAUGAUUAGUGUUUGGGUGCGACUGUGAUGCCACUGAAAAGAUGUCUCACACAGUCUUUGUGAUUCAUGAUCUGAAGAUGAAAUGUGUUCUGCGAGACUGAGAAAAAACCCUGGGAACCAGAACUGGAAGUCUCAGGUUGCUCUGAUGUUGGCCUGUGAUUUUCCUGCUGUACUACAUUCUUUACUCUUUUAAAUGUCUUAUUUGCCAACUGGGGGAGAGCAAAGAUGGCCAAAUAGGAACAGCUCCGGUCUACAGGUCCCAGCGUGAGCAACGCAGAAGAUGGGUGAUUUCUGCAUUUCCAUCUGAGGUACCGGGUUCAUCUCACUAGUGAGUGCCAGACAGUGGGCGCAGGACACUGGGUGCAGCGCACCAUGCACCAGCCGAAGCAGGGCGAGGUGUUGCCUCACUCGGGAAGUGCAAGGUGUCAGGGAGUUCCCUUUCCUAGUCAAAGAAAGGGGUGACAGAUGGCACCUGGAAAAUCGGGUCACUCCCACCCUAAUACUGUGCUUUUCCGAUGAGCUUAAAAAAACGGCAUACCAGGAGAUUAUAUCCCGCACCUGGCUCAGAGGGUCCUACACCCGCGGAGUCUCACUGAUUGCUAGCAUAGCAGUCUGAGAUCAAACUGCAAGGCGGCAGGAAGGCUGGGGAGGGACACCCGCCAUUGCCCAGGCUUGCUUAGGUAAACAAAGCAGCCGGGAAGCUGGAAGGGGGUGGAGCCCACCACAGCUCAAGGAGGCCUGCCUGCCUCUGUAGGCUCCACCUCUGGGGGCAGGGCAUAGACAAACAAAAAGACAGCAGUAACCUCUGCAGACUUAAAUGUCCCUGUCUGACAGCUUUGAAGAGAGCAGUGGUUCUCCCAGCACACAGCUGGAGAUCUGAGAACGGGCAGACUGCCUCCUCAAGUGGGUCCCUGACCCCUGACCCCCGAGCAGCCUAACUGGGAGGCACCCCCCAGUAGUGGCACACUGACACCUCAGAUGGCCGGGUACUCCUCUGAGACAAAACUUCCAGAGGAAUGAUCAGACAGCAGCAUUCGCGGUUCAUGAAAAUCCGCUGUUCUGCAGCCACCACUUCUAGUACCCAGGCAAACAGGUUCUGGAGUGGACCUCUAGCAAACUCCAACAGACCUGCAGCUGAGGGUCCUGUCUGUUAGAAGGAAAACUGACAAACAGAAAGGACAUCCACACCAAAAACCCAUCUGUACAUCACCAUCAUCAAAGACCAAAAGUAGAUAAAACCACAAAGAUGGGGAAAAAACAGAGCAGAAAAACUGGAAACUCUAAAAAGCAGAGUGCCUCUCCUCCUCCAAAGGAACGCAGUUCCUCACCACCAAUGGAACAAAGCUGGACAGAGAAUGACUUUGACGAGUUGAGAGAAGAAAGCUUCAGACGAUCAAACUACUCCGAGCUACAGGAGGAAAUUCAAACCAAAGGCAAAGAAGUUAAAAACUUUGAAAAAAAUUUAGAUGAAUGUAUAACUAGAAUAACCAAUACAGAGAAGUGCUUAAAGGAGCUGAUGGAGCUGAAAGCUAAGGCUCGAGAACUACGUGAAGAAUGCAGAAGCCUCAGGAGCUGAUGCAAUCAACUGAAAGAAAGGGUGUCAGUGAUGGAAGAUGAAAUGAAUGAAAUGAAGCGAGAAGGGAAGUUUAGAGAAAAAAGAAUAAAAAGAAACGAACAAAGCCUCCAAGAAAUAUGG
rnacentral:lncRNA from 10 species